rnacentral:misc_RNA from 1 species
UGCGAGUGCAGUCACUGAAAAGCGUGUUCAGCGUACUUUACAACAAAAUUCGGCGUGUUUUGAAACACAAUUUAGAACAUUUGGAACUACAAUAGAAGAUAAAUUUGCAACAAACGUUUUCUAAAAAUGCCUCCAUUUCACACUGAGCAGCUGCGAAAACUAUUUAUUGGUGGUUUAAAUCUUGAUACGACCGAAGAAAGUCUUAAAGAUUACUUCUCCCGCUGGGGCGAAACAGUCGAUGUUGUCGUUAUGCGUUUUCCCGAUACAAGAAGGUCUCGAGGAUUCGGGUUUGUUACAUACGAAAGCGUUGAAUCUGUCGAUGCGGUUUUGGAAGCGAAACCACAUAUCCUCGAUGGCAAAGAAGUCGAGCCGAAGCGUGCAGUCGCUAAAGAAGAAACUGCACAAUCGUCUAAAGCCGAGGAAACGGGUAAUACUUUAAAGAUAUUUGUCGGUGGCCUUGCCAGUGCCACAACUGAGGAAGAUGUUCGUAAUUGCUUCACUAAGUUCUGUGAAGAAGCAGGCCAUGGAAAGGUAGAAGAAGUUUUGAUCAUGAGAGAUCGAGAAAACAACGAUAGACUUCGAGGUUUUUGUUUUGUCAUGUUUGAUGAUAAAGAAAUCGUUGAUAAAAUCUGCUCUGUAAAGUAUUUUGAAAUCAGAACCAAAACUGUCGAAGUUCGUCGGGCUGAGACACGAAUGGCAAUGAUGAAAAAGGAGCAGAAAGAUUAUGGAUAUACAAGACGACAACUUGAAGAUCGUAGACGAGAUACGCGUGAUAGUUAUCAAGGUUCAAGCAGAAUGAGAGGCAACAACAGUAGUGCUGGUCAAAUGUCAAUGCAAGGGGGAAUGUCUGGUGGUAGUGGAAUGCCUUUCUUUGGAAAUAAUGGUGGAGGUUCUAGAGGAGGUUCUGGAGGCUUUGGUGGUGGAUUCAACAUGAAUCCAAUGGCUUUGGCUGGAAUGAUGAGCAUGUUUAUGAAUCAAAUGGGAAAUAUGGGUAACAUGGGUGGUGGAAUGGGUAAUAUGGGGAUGAAUGCAAGAGGCAGUAGUGAUGGUAUGGGUGGACAAAGUCGUGGCAGUGACUCAUAUAGAGGGUCAUCAACUGGUGGUGGUGAUUAUAAACAAAAUUAUUCCAAUGAAACAGCUAAUACUGGUAAUCUAACAUCAAGUGAUGGUGUAAUUGGCUACGGAUCUCAAAAUUCAUCUAUGUAUGGUGACCAAGGUGCAGGUAACAUGGGCGAUAUGUCAGGAUAUGCCAAUGCAAUGAGUGCUAUGUUUGGUGCUGCAGGUAUGAAUCCAGCAAAUUUCCAAGCUGCAUUAUAUAAUGCAUAUGGUGGGGGAACUAGUAACAGUCAAAUGGGUGCUUAUGACCAGUCUUCAUCUGGUUAUGGUCCAUCAAGAAAUACAUCAAGCUCCACAAAUCGAGGCUAUAAGCCAUAUUGAAAAGAUUGAGGGACAGAAAUAGCAAUGGGAAGUGAGUUACUAGAACACAGCUUAAAAUAGUUGCAAGAAGCACAAGGCAGUUAAUUCACUCUCAAAGAUGGACUGGUAUUUUUAGUCAGUUUUAAAUAGCUUAGUCAUUAAAUUUGUGUGUAAUAUCCAUUUUAUCAGUCAGUGGAGUAAUUUUUAAUCAUAGACCUGCCAACUUUUAUAGAGCAAGCAUGAUUUUUAGAAUAAAAUUUCAUAAAAAUUUAAUCAGGUUUAAACCAGUUUAGAGCUUUUGGUACUGCAUGAUACGGAAGUGUCUUGGAUUCUUUCUCAGAAUAGGUAGGAACCUUCUAAAAAGCUGUUGAUGAGAAAUAGUUUAGUACUUCGUACUUCAGUUCAGUACUUCAAUCUUUUUCAAAAUAAAAGGCAGAUAGAUUCACGCAGGGACUUGGUUAUUCUAUGUAAUGCAUAUUGAACCUCUACAUUCCAUAUAUAUAGCCGAUUAACUGAAGAGUUGGCAGGUCGUUGAUUAAAAACUGUACCAACUAUAAAGGUAGUGUUAAAUAGCAAGAAGUCUUGGUGAAAUGUCAUGAGUAAUUGAGAAUAAUCGCAAUGUAUUAUUGAAAUAAAAUAUUAAUAAUGUGCACUUCUUUCACCUUGAAUGAUAAUAGCGCCCUAGGUCGCACCGCUGCUCAGACUCCGAGCUAGCCUAUCAUAUUUUUUCACGGUCUUGUCUCAAUCUUUUCAUGUGCAGUAUAAACACAACCCAACGAAUAGCUUUCAGUCCCCGCGAUAUUUAUUUUAUAGCUGGUAAAGCCGUUUUUGCAGUUUUUCUUUUUAGUUUAGACACUGGUUGCCUUGCCCGUAUAUUUUCGAAAUAAUUUCAUUAUUUUUUGGUGUCAUCGUUCACCUUCGCCAGUGGCAGUGGAUUUCGUACACAAUUCACAAUCACUAUAAAAAAUAAUCAAAUUCGCUUAUUUCCGUUAUAUUUGAGCACUGUUUUUAAAAUCAUAUCACCAUGUUCCUGUACCGAUCACGUUAGAUUUGGAUUGCAUGUCCAUAGGUACAAAAGUGCAGUAGCAGGCGCGAUUGACGUGAUUGUGAAAUCAUUUUAGGCAGAGUUAUUUCAACCCGGCCAUUGUCAGACUUCUCAUUGCUGUCGGUUAUACUCGCUGAGUACUGCAAUCCACAAGUUGGCGUUCAACCGCCAUUUGUACAGCGUAGGUAGGAAUUAUUUCUCCCUCUUGUGCGGCCUUGCUCUUUCCGAAACAAGUUAAGGCAGGAAGAAGAGGAAAAUAAGAAGGGAGUUAAGAAGUAGAAUUUUUUACAUGUCACAAGACAGACAACACUCGAAAGUGCAAAUCUGCUUCGAUGGUACUCUUCCAGGAAAGUCUGAAGACAUUAAAUGAAGCUACACAUUUUAAACAAAUUCACCGCAAAAAGUCGAUGUUUCUUUAUAAUACUCUUUCGGGUAUGUCACUUGGAAAAAGCAGCCACGGGUCUGCGACUUCGACGGCAACGAUGGAAACGAAUCCAACAAAGUUGCUUCAGCUAGAUCGAAGAAAAAGACGUAGUUGAAUGCAACAUCACCUUUGUUCAAUCGAACAACAAAAACUACUGCAGCACAUCUGGAAAGAAUUUCAACAGAAAAAAGGAGAAUUAAACCUAAUAAACACAUUAUGACUAAGCAUUUAGUUUAAAAGCAGCAGGUACCGUCGCGAGGUCGCGGGUGAUAAAAGUUUCAAUAUAAUGGAAACGGAGAGCAAGUACACACAAGCUGCUGUAAUUUAUUUUCAAUAGAGCGACGUUCAAUAUAAAGUUGACAUUGUUGAUAUACAAACGAUGCAACAAAACCAAUGAAAACUUAUAUAUCAUUUUUGUUGUAUGGUAGUGAUAAUCUUUUGCUAUUUAUGACAGACAAUUAUGGCCUAGAAUUUCUUAGUCAAGUGUUACACUGCAAUUUUCCUUGCAACUUGCAAUGCAAUUAAAAUUUUGAGGGAUGUAAAGGGUGCAUGUUCGAAAUGCUAAGAAAACCUUAGCAGAUACUAAGAAAUGUCAGUGAGAAAUGCUUGUAUGCCUGUAUUUCGAAAUGCUUGUAUUUCAAGUUGCAAGGAAGGUUAAAUAAUGUAACAGUUAAAACCGCCUAUAUGGCUAUAAGCUGCAUGGCAGCAAGUUCGAACAUGAAGUGCAGUAUCUAUAGAUUCUUCAUUUCUUCACUCUCUCUCUGUAGUGUAAACACGGAUCAAGGUUU